rnacentral:rRNA from 1 species
UCCGGUGAUGAUGGCGUAAAGGUAACACUCCUUUCCAUACCGAACAGGCAAGUUAAGCUUUACAGCGCCGAUGGUACUUCAGGGGCAGCCUUGUGGGAGAGUAGGACAUCGCCGGGU